rnacentral:rRNA from 1 species
AAAAGCUCAAAUUUGAAAUCCUGCGGGAAUUGUAAUUUGAAGGUUUCGUGGUCUGAGUCGGCCGCGCCCAAGUCCAUUGGAACAUGGCGCCUGGGAGGGUGAGGGCCCCGUAUGGCGCACGCCGACUCUUUGCACCGCGGCUCCGACGAGUCGAGUUGUUUGGGAAUGCAGCUCUAAGUGGGUGGUAAAUUCCAUCUAAAGCUAAAUAUUGGCGAGAGACCGAUAGCGAACAAGUACAGUGAUGGAAAGAUGAAAAGCACUUUGAAAAGAGAGUGAAACAGCACGUGAAAUUGUUGAAAGGGAAGGGCUUGCAAGCAGACACGGUUUUACCGGGCCAGCGUCGAAAAGGGGGGAGGAACAAGAACUCGAGAAUGUGGCGCGCACCUUCGGGCGCGCGUGUUAUAGCUCGUGUUGACGCCUCCAUCCCUUUUCGAGGCCUGCGAUUCUAGGACGCUGGCGUAAUGGUUGCAA